rnacentral:rRNA from 1 species
UACAGAGGGUGCAAGCGUUGUUCGGAAUUACUGGGCGUAAAGCGUGCGCAGGCGGCUUCUCAAGUCAGGGGUGAAAGCCCAGAGCUCAACUCUGGAAUUGCCUUUGAGACUGAGUGGCUUGAGUACGAGAGAGGUGAGUGGAAUUCCCAGUGUAGAGGUGAAAUUCGUAGAUAUUGGGAAGAACACCGGUGGCGAAGGCGGCUCACCUGGCUCGUAACUGACGCUCAUGCACGACAGCGUGGGGAUCAAACAGG